rnacentral:lncRNA from 1 species
CGAAAAGCCCCAAAAUGUUCCCUCUCUUUACUUCCCCACCCAAGACCUCCACGUUGCUAGGGUUUAAUCAUACUGUCAACCCCCAACCCCAUUUUCGCACUCUUCCAAAUUCAUGUGUUAAAUUCCAAAACCCACCAUGAAUCCCCAAUUACUAAACCAUGAACCCAUGUUGAAAGACUCAAUCAAACAUUUCUUGUCCCUUUACGAAAAUGGAG